GAUAAUGAGAUUGGUUAUAGAGUGACGGUCAAAGUUGCAGAGAGUUGACCGUUAACGGUUGUAGGUAUUCGGCAACGGUUACUACGCGGGAUGACAUGGCAUGUACGGCCAGCUCCAGCUGUCGUCUUUCGCCGUGUUGAGGUUACGACAGGAAGUCGUGCACAUGCACAUGCAUUCAUGUGAUUUGCAGGGGACGCCGAAUUGCAAUCGCAACCUGACUUUGUGCGCGAGUCAGAGUAUUCCCAUCGAAAUAUAUCCCUUCCAUUAAGCACUAUCCCACUGAAGCAUUCACAACCACCACAACCUACUACAACCACAACAAGAAAAUGGCAACGUGAACGACGAGCCUUAUAAGCUGCGUCGUUCUUCUGCGCCGCGCAGAAUCUAACUCAUCGCAUACAGGACACCCGAGAGCCCCAGCAAGGAGGAUCUCCGUAACUAGUACACAGUGCACAUCUGCACAAACACUCGCAUGUCCGUUUCGCUCUACGCCGUACAGUGACCCAGUAGAUCUUCCCUAGAAGAUUACGUACACUGAGCUUGCAACCGACGAGCUUUGCAUUGAUCCACUUAUCCUGCUUAUCCUGCUGAAGAAGCUCUUGUUUUCACAACUGAGCACACUAACAAGCACAAAAUCUCCCAUGUCAACCCCUCCAACGGCAAUAACGGCGACAGCAGCUGCACAAUAUCCAACGAAAGAGCAAGGGAAAACGGUGCGGUCCAUGUGCGUGUGUGCGUGCGGAGGGGGGGGGGGAGGGGGGGAAGAGGUGCAUGUGGCAUGUAAUGUCACCCCCGCACAAGACUUUUAUGGGCCACGAAUCACACGUUAGCUCCAACUGCCCCUUAACACCGGCACCGGCACUGUCACCGGCUUCUAUCACCGGCCACAGCAACCGCCACGCACCCGACCUUGAACCCCCACUCUCGGUGACCGGCUUGCAACCACCAUCGUACCAGCACCUCGUGAUGAAAAGGUAAGCACUUAUCAACCUCCAAACAGACCCAGCAACUCCGAGAUAAGAAAACCCACGCAUUAAAACCUGCUAGGAGCUUAUCAAGAAACGCUUUCACCUGCACGCGCACAUGCGCGCAAAAAGGAGAGUCCAUCCAGCCCUUCCAGCGUUUGUAUGCUAUUCACAACGGCGAGGCGAGGCGGCAACCUCUCAACACCAUCAUUGCGCGAAAUGCGAGGACAGGAGGGGGUUGAAGUACGAGCAUCACGCUGGGCAACGCUCCCGUAUCCCUUGUCAUCAUCAG
rnacentral:lncRNA from 1 species